CAGUAGCCGCGGGAAUACGGAGGGUGCAAGCGUUGUCCGGAUUUACUGGGCGUAAAGGGAGCGUAGGCGGACAUUUAAGUCAGGGGUGAAAUCCCAGAGCUCAACUCUGGAACUGCCUUUGAUACUGGGUGUCUUGAGUGUGAUAGAGGUAUGUGGAACUCCGAGUGUAGAGGUGAAAUUCGUAGAUAUUCGGAAGAACACCAGUGGCGAAGGCGACAUACUGGAUCAUUACUGACGCUGAGGCUCGAAAGCGUGGGGAGCAAACAGGAUUAGAUACCCCCGUAGUCCCUGUCUCUUAUAC
rnacentral:rRNA from 1 species